rnacentral:rRNA from 1 species
AGAGUUUGAUCAUGGCUCAGAUUGAACGCUGGCGGCAUGCUUUACACAUGCAAGUCGAGCGGCAGCGCGGGGCAACCUGGCGGCGAGCGGCGAACGGGUGAGUAACGGAUAGGAACGUGUCUAGGAGUGGGGGAUAACUAGCCGAAAGGUUAGCUAAUACCGCAUAUUCUGUACGCAGGAAAGCGGGGGCUCGCAAGACCUCGCGCUUCUGGAGUGGCCUAUCUCCGAUUAGCUAGUUGGUGAGGUAAAGGCUUACCAAGGCGACGAUCGGUAGCUGGUCUGAGAGGAUGAUCAGCCACACUGGGACUGAGACACGGCCCAGACUCCUACGGGAGGCAGCAGUGGGGAAUUUUGGACAAUGGGGGCAACCCUGAUCCAGCCAUGCCGCGUGCGGGAAGAAGGCCUUCGGGUUGUAAACCGCUUUUAUUCGGAAAGAAGGAGUGCGGGUUAAUACCCUGCAUGACGGACGGUACCGGAUGAAUAAGCACCGGCUAACUACGUGCCAGCAGCCGCGGUAAUAC